UACGUCGGGUGCGAGCGUUGUCCGGAAUUAUUGGGCGUAAAGAGCUCGUAGGCGGUGUGUCGCGUCGGCCGUGAAAACCUGGGGCUUAACUCUGGGCGUGCGGUCGAUACGGGCAUCACUAGAGUUCGGCAGGGGAGACUGGAAUUCCUGGUGUAGCGGUGAAAUGCGUAGAUAUCUGGAAGAACACCGGUGGCGAAGGCGGUCAACUGGCCCUAAACUGACGCUCAGGCACGAAAGCGUGGGGAUCAAACAGG
rnacentral:rRNA from 1 species